rnacentral:lncRNA from 1 species
CAGAUGCUGUUUGUGCAAGGCAAAGAAAGGGAUGCUGACUCCCCCCUGCUUAGAGAAGUCUGCCUACCCAGAGAUCCCUCCCUUAUCUAUCACCUCGGACAGUGACUAACUUCCUUCAGCUGUAUUUUAACUAAGAGUUCCCUUCAAAGAAUUCCCUUCAACCUGGCUUCGUCUUGAUGGACCACACCUCUUCUGGAUCUCCUUUGUCUGACACUGGUCCGAAUGGAUGCAGGGAUCAAAUCAAAAUGUCAGCCAAAGAUCAGCCAGGCAGAACCAUGCUGCGGAGUCCCAACAACAGAAGCAGGUGCAAAAAUGCACAGCGUGCCUCUCGAGACCACUUGUAAAUGAUUUUGGGUUAUCGCCUCCCCUAAGGAUAGGAAGAAUUGAGUGGGAACAGCUGCACCUUUCUGUCGAGUGUUUAAAAGUUGCAGUCUGGCUCAACCACCGCGGGAGAGAGACUGGCACAACAGAGCAUGUGUGGAUAGUGGCUCAGAACACAGGCUGAUGGGACAGGCUCAAAUCCUGUCACUGCCACCUCAGAUAAGCUACUAUCUCUUCCCCGAGCCACAGUUUGUAAUCUCUAAAAUGGGAAGGGGACUGAUGGCACCCAUUUAUGGCUUCCGAAUUAAGUAGGGGUAUGGCGUGUGGGCUUGGCGCACACAGCACUUGACUCACAUAAUGUGAGCAACUACUGAUGAAUUGUUAUUAUUGUAUUAAUAAAGUAGGGGAAUGUUUCUAAUACUCUCCUGUUACUCUUUAAGGAAACUUCCAGCAGAUGUAUAUUUUGAGACGUUCCGGUCACUAGGUGUGGCUGUCUUUCUACUAGUCCGAGCCAGACAAGGGCAAUGAGAGAUGGACCAGCAGAAAGGACGAGGGCAGAGGCUGCCGUGAGGGCAACGGAGUGAGAACUGACAUCCUGAGGGUGGGAGUGGAUGAUAACUUAUCACUGAAGGUAAAAUGGAGACUUGUGUCUGCUCUGGGGCCCUGCCCAGGUCAUCUCUCUUAGGUGGCUCUGUCUUUCUCAGUUUACUGCUAUGAAGAAUUUGAACCAGUCCCCAGCCCCACAAUAUACA